GACGAAGGAUGCAAGCGUUAUCCGGAUUCAUUGGGUUUAAAGGGAGCGUAGGUGGCCUUAUAAGUCAGUGGUGAAAUCUCUGGGCUUAACCCAGAAAUUGCCAUUGAUACUGUAGGGCUUGAGUAUAGAUGCCGUUGGCGGAAUAUGACAUGUAGUGGUGAAAUACAUAGAGAUGUCAUAGAACACCGAUUGCGAAGGCAGCUAACGAAACUAUAACUGUCACUGAGGCUCGAAAGUGUGGGGAUCAAACAGG
rnacentral:rRNA from 1 species